GAUGAACGCUGGCGGCGUGCCUAAUACAUGCAAGUCGAGCGAACAGAUGCGUACCUUGCUCCUCUGACGUUAGCGGCGGACGUGUGAGUAACACGUGGAGAACUUACCUAUAAGACUGGGAUAACUUCGGGAAACCGGAGCUAAUACCGGAUAAUAUAUUGAAUCGCAUGGUUCAAUAGUGAAAGACGGUUUUGCUGUCACUUAUAGAUGGAUCCGCGCCGCCUUAGAUAGUUGGUAAGGUAACGGCUUCCAAAGGCAACGAUGCGUAGCCGACCUGAGAGCGUGGACGAGCAGCCGAGAACAGAGGAAGGACCCAGACACCUGCGGGAGGCCGCAGUAGAGACUCUUACGGGAUGGGGGAGAGGCUGACGGAGCAACGCCGAGUGAGCGAUGAAGGUCUUCGGAUCGUAAAACUAUGUUGUUAGGGGAGAACAAAUGCGUAAGUAACUAUGCACAUAUUGACGGUACCUGAUCAGAAAGCCACGGCUAACUACGUG
rnacentral:rRNA from 1 species